CUUGUUUGUUUAGCCUUUUGUGGUGAAGAGAUCUACCUUCAAAUGUGGAACUUGGCUGCAAAGAUCAAUGACCAGUUUUUGACUGUUGCUACAAACAAGCGAAAAAACACAAAUGGAAUUUGAGACAUUGUGGCUAUGCAGAAAUGUCCCAGUCAAGUUCAAAAUACACAGACAAGGGAUUUGCCUCUCUUCCGGAUUCUCUGACACUCAUUUUUCAGAACUUUGGACCCCAUGGGAAAGGUGCAAGGAAAUUCAGACAGGAAAGGAGACUGGAGAAGAAAGUAAAACAAGAAAUGGAAAAAAAGGAACUUACUAGUGAAAAACAUAAUGCCAUUGAUCAGUACUUGCUUAGCGGAGAUGAAAAGUUACCAUUAUGAUCUGGUAUCAGGAAGGUCUCAAAUAGGUCACAGUGUGCUCAUAACACGCACACCAUCUCUCUGAGUGCAGUUUGCAAGCCCCGUGCCAUCUCCAUCUUCUUGAAACCGGCACAUCUGUCCUCUUUCUAUACACUACUGCCUUGACCUACAUUGGCCACUAUCUGGUGCUUCCCAGCUACACUGAAGAAGAGAAAAUCGACUGUAUCAUAUGUGGAACUUAGAAACCAGAGCGGUUAAAAAUUAUUGAAAAAUGAGCCAGAUGUGUACUGCUUGACAAUUAAAGAUGAUGCCAGUAGAAUUGGUUUUGGAGUCAUGAUGGAAAAUGGGAUAGAAGUUUGGGAUCCAUUUGAACACCAGAAUACCAUUAUUCCAGGUUAUGAAAGCGUACAUCAUACUGUGAUUAGCAAACUCCAGCUGCUGGAGGAAAGGGCAAAAGCAGUCCUACUU